UACGUAGGGUGCGAGCGUUGUCCGGAAUUAUUGGGCGUAAAGGGCUCGUAGGCGGUUUGUCGCGUCGGGAGUGAAAUCCACUGGCUUAACUGGUGGCUUGCUUUCGAUACGGGCAGACUGGAGGUAUGCAGGGGAGAACGGAAUUCCUGGUGUAGCGGUGAAAUGCGUAGAGAUCGGGAGGAACACCGGCGGCGAAGGCGGCUGCCUGGACCAGUCC
rnacentral:rRNA from 1 species